rnacentral:rRNA from 1 species
CUUGUUGGGGUUGUAGGACACUCUAUACGGAGUUACAAAGGACGACAUUAGACGAAUCAUCUGGAAAGAUGAAUCAAAGAAGGUAAUAAUCCUGUAGUCGAAAAUGUUGUCUCUCUUGAGUGGAUCCUGAGUACGACGGAGCACGUGAAAUUCCGUCGGAAUCUGGGAGGACCAUCUCCUAAGGCUAAAUACUCUCUAGUGACCGAUAGUGAACCAGUACCGUGAGGGAAAGGUGAAAAGCACCCCGGAAGGGGAGUGAAAUAGAACCUGAAACCGUGUGCUUACAAGUAGUCAGAGCCCGUUAAUGGGUGAUGGCGUGCCUUUUGUAGAAUGAACCGGCGAGUUACGAUUUGAUGCAAGGUUAAGCAGUAAAUGUGGAGCCGUAGCGAAAGCGAGUCUGAAUAGGGCGUUUAGUAUUUGGUCGUAGACCCGAAACCAGGUGAUCUACCCUUGGUCAGGUUGAAGUUCAGGUAACACUGAAUGGAGGACCGAACCGACUUACGUUGAAAAGUGAGCGGAUGAACUGAGGGUAGCGGAGAAAUUCCAAUCGAACCUGGAGAUAGCUGGUUCUCUCCGAAAUAGCUUUAGGGCUAGCCUCAAGUGAUGAUUAUUGGAGGUAGAGCACUGUUUGGACGAGGGGCCCCUCUCGGGUUACCGAAUUCAGACAAACUCCGAAUGCCAAUUAAUUUAACUUGGGAGUCAGAACAUGGGUGAUAAGGUCCGUGUUCGAAAGGGAAACAGCCCAGACCACCAGCUAAGGUCCCAAAAUAUAUGUUAAGUGGAAAAGGAUGUGGCGUUGCCCAGACAACUAGGAUGUUGGCUUAGAAGCAGCCAUCAUUUAAAGAGUGCGUAAUAGCUCACUAGUCGAGUGACACUGCGCCGAAAAUGUACCGGGGCUAAACAUAUUACCGAAGCUGUGGAUUGUCCUUUGGACAAUGGUAGGAGAGCGUUCUAAGGGCGUUGAAGCAUGAUCGUAAGGACAUGUGGAGCGCUUAGAAGUGAGAAUGCCGGUGUGAGUAGCGAAAGACGGGUGAGAAUCCCGUCCACCGAUUGACUAAGGUUUCCAGAGGAAGGCUCGUCCGCUCUGGGUUAGUCGGGUCCUAAGCUGAGGCCGACAGGCGUAGGCGAUGGAUAACAGGUUGAUAUUCCUGUACCACCUAUAAUCGUUUUAAUCGAUGGGGGGACGCAGUAGGAUAGGCGAAGCGUGCGAUUGGAUUGCACGUCUAAGCAGUAAGGCUGAGUAUUAGGCAAAUCCGGUACUCGUUAAGGCUGAGC